rnacentral:rRNA from 1 species
AUGACGGUCCUUUGGAUUGUAAAACUCUGUUGUAUGGAAAAAAUGACUAGGUUAGGAAAUGAACCUAGUGUGAUGGUACCAUACCAGAAAGCCCCGGCUAACUACGUGCCAGCAGCCGCGGUAAUACGUAGGGGGCAAGCGUUAUCCGGAUUUAUUGGGCGUAAAGCGUGUGUAGGCGGUUUGUUAAGUUUAAGAUUAAAGCCUGGGGCUCAACUCCAGUUCGUCUUAAAAACUGGCAGACUAGAGUACGGUAGAGGCAAACGGAAUUUCUAGUGUAGCGGUGAAAUGCGUAGAUAUUAGAAGGAACACCAGUGGCGAAAGCGGUUUGCUGGGCCGUUACUGACGCUGAGGCACGAAAGCGUGGGGAGCAAAUAGGAUUAGAUACCCUAGUAGUCCACGCCGUAAACGAUGAGUACUAAGUGUUGGGGUUUCCCAGUGCUGAAGCUAACGUAUUAAGUAUCCCACCUGAGUAGUACGGUCGCAAGGCUGAAACUCAAAGGAAUUGACGGGCACCCGCACAAGCGGUGGAGCAUGCUGUUUAAUUCGAAGAUACGCGAAGAACCUUACCUAGACUUGACAUCCCUGGCAAAGCUAUAGAAAUAUAGUGGAGGUUACCCAGGUGACAGGUGGUGCAUGGUUGUCGUCAGCUCGUGUCGUGAGAUGUUCGGUUAAGUCCGCUAACGAGCGCAACCCUUAUCCUUAGUUGCUAACAUUUAGUUGAGAACCCUAAGGAGACUGCCGGUGACAAACCGGAGGAAGGUGGGGAUGACGUCAAAUCAUCAUGCCCCUUACGUCUAGGGCUACAGGCGUGCUAUAAUGGCUGGUACAAUGAGACGCAAUACUGUGAAGUGGAGCAAAUCUAUAAAGCCAGUCUCAGUUCGGAUUGAAGUCUGCAACUCGACUUCAUGAAGCUAGAAUCGCUAGUAAUCCCAAAUCAGAAUGUUGGGGUGAAUACGUUCCCGGGUGUUGUACACACCGCCCGUCAUGCCAUGAAAGUUUGUAAUACCCGAAUGUGGUAGCCUAACCUUUUAGGAGGGGGCCAUUUAAGGUAGGACAAGUGAUUGGGGUAAAGUCGUAACAAGGUAUCCCUACGAGAACGUGGGGAUG